UUAAGCAUGUAGGCUGAUUGUCCAGGCAAAUCCGGAUAAUCAAGGCUGAGGUGUGAUGACGAGGCACUACGGUGCUGAAGUAACAAAUGCCCUGCUUCCAGGAAAAGCCUCUAAGCAUCAGGUAACAUUAAAUCGUACCCCAAACCGACACAGGUGGUCAGGUAGAGAAUACCAAGGCGCUUGAGAGAACUCGGGUGAAGGAACUAGGCAAAAUGGUGCCGUAACUUCGGGAGAAGGCACGCUGGUGUGUAGGUGAA
rnacentral:rRNA from 1 species